GGAGAAUUACUUGAAGCCGGGAGACGGUUGUUGCAGUGAGCGGAGAUCACACCAUUGCAUUCCAGCCUUGGCAGAUGAGCAAGACUCUGUCUCAAAAAAUAAAUAAAAUAAAAUAAAAUCUCUUGAUGAUGUGUUGAGACUCUGGGGAAACAUUACUUGACCAUAAAAGUAGUAACAGACUUGAUUGCAAUGCAAUGAAUUGCCAGCGUGAGUAAUUUGAUGGAGGAUGUAUAGGUUCUUGGGGCAAAAGCCCUCAUACCAGACAACCAAGGAUUAGAGCGGCAGACUCCGGGGUAGAUGGUGGUGGUUCUUACAGACUUGUGUAGUGGGAGGAGGAGUGACAGUUAAGGCUUUGUUUUGAGAGAGACAGAGAGAGAAUUGACUUGAGGAUGGAAGCUACAAAGUAAACACUAGAUUAUUGCAGUCAUCUUAAAUGAUCCUUAAAAGCAUCCUGUUUGAGUCAGGAUGAAUGGGACCUCUUCACUUCUGUAGGAUCUGGAUUAUGACUGAUGUCCCUGUUCCUCAUCACUAAAAUGAAGUAAUAUUUCUCCAAGGCCUCCUUUAACUCUAGAAUUACAUGAAGUUUUGAAAUGUUGAAUAUUUUCCAAACAGCUUCCUUUCCAUUCCCAUAAGAAAAAAGGCUGUUAUGCUAUGUAGACCUUGAGGCACCCGAUGUCUGUCUGGGUAUUUACCGGUGAGCUCUUUGUUUUUAGGCUUUCAUCGUUCUGUGUUCCUUGUUUGCCAAGGAGGAUGCUGUCAUUUUCCCAUUCUGCUUUUAAGUUUUCCUGUGUCUGUUACUGUCUGUACAGGUAGUGAAAGGCUUCAGCUGAGUCCUGUGGGGAGAUGAGUUUCUGGAUUUGGGUGUGCCGUCAUGGGGUGACCGAGCUCACUGGUGAUGGUGAGUGAGCGGUCUCAUGCAGCCUGUGGGAAAAUGGCAAGGCCUGGUGUCUUGGAACCACAAGCCUCCAGAGGGAGUUGCAUUAAUGUGCAGAGUUGAAUCAGAGAAGGUUCAGAGUUGGUGUAGUUUAUUGCCUUAUUCCAGUGCCCACGCUCACUACAAAUGUGUUUACAUUUCAACUUUUGCUAAAGCCCGCUUAGUUUAAAAGGGAGGCUUCACGUAAAUGGAAAAGCUGAGGCUAAAAGGUCCAAACUUCUCUCAUCUUUGUUACUUAUUGAAGCUUUCAUUAUAGAUGCUGUGAGUACUCAGCAUUUCUAAGAAACUCCCAUUGCUCUUGUUUCCCUUUCAGCUUGGAGCUGGGAUCCAGCGUAGCUAAAUGAGGGGCCUGGCUUUGCCCCUUGUCGGGAGGAUGGCCUGCCUUUGAAGGCAGUUGAAUUUUGUAUAUGUCUUAGUCUCUUCAGGCUGCCAUGACAGAUACCAUAGACAGUGGCUUAAACAAUAGAUGUUUAUUUCCUCACUCUUGUGGAGGCUGGAAGUCCCAGAUCAUGGUGCCAGCAGAUUGGGUUCCUGGCUUGCAGACAGCCAUCUUCUCACUGUGCCCUCACAUGGUAUUGGGGCUGGAGGGUGCAGGGAGAGAGAUUGAGAAAGAGCGAGCUCUGGUCUCUUUUUUUAUAAGGACACUGAUCCCAUCAUGUGGGCUGUAGCCUCAUAACCUCAUCUAAACCUAAUUAUCUUCCAAAGGUCCUACCUCCAAAUACUGUCACUUUGGGGGUUAGGGUUUGAACAUAUGAAUUUUGGGGGGACCCAGCAUUCAGUUGGUAACAGUGUGUGCGCUGCAUGCACGUGCGUGUGUAUGUGUAGAUCAGGGUUGAUCAGAGUCUACCUGCCAUUGCCAUCCUCUUUUCCCUGCUGGGUGCAAAUUUGCAUUCCCCCCCACCCUUUGCGCGGGAGUGAUCAUCUGACCCUGUUCUGGCCAAUGAGGUGAGGUAGUCCCGGGGGCUUCUGGGAGUGCCUUCCCUCCCAGCAGGGGCGCUGCCUCCUGAGGGGCUGUCCCUGCCGCCCCUCCCUCCCUUGUGUGCCUGGGGCGGCUGAGGCAGGGCUAGGAGAACAGCCCAGGUCCCUCCUGCCAAGCGCUGAAGCCGCCCUGGGCUAACUGCAGCGUUCUCCUGUGAGCUGCAGAGGAGCCCUGCGCUUCCUGCUACUUGCAGCCAGGUGCUGUUACCUGUGCCCCACGCAUCCUCACGGACCUGUCCACAGGGCACCCGUGCCUUCCCUCCAGCUGGCAGGAGGUGCAGUCGGAAGAGCGUAUGGUCCCUGAGGCCUCCCUGUGCCUCCCCCUGGACCCCGGGGUGUCCCUAUUUGCAGUUGUUGACCCUUGGGUGCGUCUGUCGCGUCUGCUUUCUUCUCCUCCAGGCUGGGAGCGCCUGGACCACGUCUCGCUCCCCUCUCGAUCUUUAGGCCCACCCUGUGCUCCCCCGUAGGAAACAUAGUGACCUAGUGACCGGUUCAGUCACCCAGCCAGUGCUCUGGGUCCUGGUGUUGCUGACAGCGGUUGGUUUGCUCCUCUCUUGAUUUUGGUGUCCUCUGUAAGAAGCCUACCUAUUUGGUCGUUCACAGAAAGCCCACGAGGUGGCCGGAAGAAAGGGACAUGGGAAAACAGAGUAUAAUUAAAAGGGCCUGGGCCAUGGAAAUAGCUGUUCUCUAGGGUUUGGUUAGAGACAGACAGUCCUCCAAAGACGCAGGCAGAGCUGCUUCCCAGUCCUCACGCUCAGUUUUCAUUGUGGAAGCAGAAAUCAAAUAAAAGCCAACUUAAAUUCUUUUAAUUAUGGAACAUUCUAAGCAUCCAGAAAAAACACAUCGUUGCCACCAUUGUUUCUGGCAUUAAGGUCUCUUUUCUCUUUUUAAGGGUGAAAAAUGUUUUCCAGACAAACACUUAACUAAUUCAGUAUGUCAAAAGUGAAAAAUACACGCUGAACAUCCCAAAUCCAAAACUUCAUGAGCGCUGACAUGCUGCUCAGAGGAAAUGCUUACUGAAGCAUUUUAGAUUGUAGACAUUCAGAAAUAUUCCAAACAUUUGGAAAUAUUCUAAAAUCGGAAAAGCUUUGAAAUCUGAGACACUCCUGGUGUUUCGGAUAAGGGAUGCUCAACUUGUAGUAAGUGAGUGGUUGGAAGUUAGAACAUAUGCAUCCGUAGAAACAAACCUAUUUGACCCAAAAUUUGGCCAACGUACAGAGAUUUGAGAUGAAAAACUUACAAAAUGAUAGGGUGACUGUGAUUUUACUAGUUAGGAAACAAACCCAGAGAAGUGAAGUCAGGAUUUAGGUUUGUGGACCUUUUAUUUAGGGUCCUUUCUACUCUGCCAUACAUUCCUAGUUAUUCUGACAACAGUGUCGAAUUUCAUCAGCCAGAAACCACUAGGAACACAUGUGGUUAUCCAGAAGUUGGUCAGCCAGGGCCAGUGUACCCACAAAACUCUUGGGAUUAUUUUGGAAAGGCAGACUUGGGGUUGUGCUUGUACUGAGUGAUUUGAAGGCAGAAUUAGGGAAUUGGGGCCAGAUCUGGGUUGGAGGUGGCCAGUAGGCAGGGAUGAUUCAGUGAUUGGGUAUCCUAACAAUUUUUAUCUAGGAGGUAGGGGAUUAAAGUGGAGUUAGAGUGUCCACUUCAGUAAAGAAUUUGCAGUCAUACAUGUUGAUGAGAAAAGGGGGCAUCUGGUUAUUUUCGUGGUAGUAACGUGGGCCUGUCUGUGUCCUAUUUUGAGCAUUCGUUAUGUUCUGAUGGGAAUAUUGGGGCCGGUUUGGUGGUCGGUAGGGUUGAAUUUAAUUUGUUCACCAACUUAAUUUCAUUCUGAAUGCAUAUGCGGGAGGAAAUGUAGGUUUUAAUAGGAGCAAGAUGAAGUGGUAAAUAGAGAUUUAGAGGAUGUCUAAAAAACUGUGAGCAGUCACUGUUUUUUAAACAUUGUAGCUGCUCAGUGAAUACUGCAAAUUAAAAAAGACAAAUGGUUAGUUUUCUCCUAUCUCGAGAAGCUUUAAAAAUCAUCAUAAUGAUUUUGUACUGAAUUUUGAUAGGCUGUAGAAGCAGAUAAAACUGUCGAGCUGUUAUUAAAGUGUACUUAUAAUUGGAAUAUAUUUUUAUAGUCUUCAAAUAUGCUGUCCAGUUACUGAUCAGGAGGUACCGUGAAUGGUGAUGUUACUCACAGUGCCAAAACACCCCCAGAUCAGUGGAAAAUGUGGACAAGGAAUUUAGGAAAUUUACAAGAGCAGUCAGAAGCUGGAGGCAGUGUUGGAUAGUGAAGAGUGACCCGGGUUCCAAUCUUGGUCCUAGUCCGAGCUGUGCCACCGUGUGGUCCAGAAUGUCGUUGCCAACUCUCUGAACUUAGUCAUUUCAUCUCUCUGGGCCUCAGUUUCCUCAUCUGUCAUAAUGAGGAAGUUGAACACAUGGUGUCUGUGUUCCUUCUAAAGUUUCUGUCAUUAAGUCUGUUUGAAGAUAGAGUCUGUUCUUUUGGAAGUUCUAGUUUCUUUGGCCAGUUGGGCCAGGUCAUAAACAUUAUGUAACUAUUAUUCAGCUCAUGAAGACAGGAAUGUCUGAGGGCUUUGAAAGCUUGUCCAGAAGGAAAUUUUUCCUUCCUCUCAGGAAUGAUUAGGCCUAAAUCAGCCAUCUUCUUAGUCCAUCCCCUUUGUAGUUUCCUGAGAUGAAUGACUGAGGUGUUUUCUCCUUAGAAAAUAACAUGGGAGAAAAAUACCAAGGGAGACUUUUUAUUCAGGAACUUGCAGUUUAGGAAUUAAGUGUGAUACCUUCCAUUUUGCUCAUUUUAAUUUUGGGACCAUAAAAUGACGUAAUAUAAAUAUUUAAGGAUUCUGUUAAAUGCAAAUUUUGAAAUCAUGCCAAAACCAAAAAAAGGAAAAGAAGUCAGCCAAAAGUUGUUAUCAUUUCAAAGCUGGUGGCCAGGUGGUUUGGAAACUGUGUAUGGGAUUGCUACAUGGAAGCUGUGGAUGGGAUUCCUCCACUCUAGCAGGCAACAAAUGCCUUGUGUGGUUAGUCAGUAUCGUGCUGCAUGCUGUUGCUGAUAGCAUGCUAAUUUUUGCUUACAUGUGCUGGUAUUUAACGUGCGCUUAGAUCUAAAUAUCUUUUUUUAGCCUUCGAAGAUGUCAACCAGGUAUUCAUCAAGAGGUAUGUUAAUGGGGAUGUUGGCGAUAGUGCCCAAGAUGCCCCCAACCCCCAGAUCAGUAGCUUUGUGACAGAAGUGCCGAACCACUAUGAAGAUGAUCAGGCAACAGUGGGACGCAUCCUGCCAUAAAUUUAGCCGAAAGAGCACAGAGCAUGCAUCCAAAUAGGAGGGUUAAUAUAGAGAGGUGCUGUAGCAAAGUGAUUCAGAGCAUGGUCCCUGGAGCUAGUUGCGUGAUGCUGACACUUAAUUAGCUUUGUGGAUUUAGGCAAGUCACCUAGCCUUUCUGGGCCUUAAUUUCCCCAUCUGUCCAAUGGAAUAAAUUCAAUGUCUACCGCAAAGUUUAUAUGACACUUAGCAAACAUGAAAAGACAGGUUGCCGGGCCCAUCCUCCAGAGACCCUGAUUCACUGCAUCUCAGGUAUUUGCGUUUAACCAAUUCCAUGGUGGUGCUCAUGCGUCGAACCCUGGGAUGACACUGAGGAUCGCAUGCUGUGCGUUUGUACACACAGACACACAUGUAGGCAUUUAGUUUACUAAAUAAAGGGCAUACUCUUUGGAACCUGAUGUUUUUGUCCUAUUUAGUGCAUUGUGAAUAUUUUCCCUUUCAUUAUUUAUUCUAAUAAUAGAUGAUUUUAAGCUUCAUUGUAUUCCUUAUUAGAUAUUUAAAUGGUUUCCAUUUUUUGCACUAUGAUAGAUCAUGCUGGAAUAAAUAUUAUUCUGUAUACACUUGUCUACAUCUCUGUUGGUCUCUUUAGGGUAAAUUCCUAAAAGUGGAAUUACCAGGUUCAAGGGUGUUCAUGAUAAGGCCUUUUGCUGCAUAUUGCCAACAAAUUCUUCAGAACGAGAGUAGCAGAAAUUUAUCGUCUUACAAGUAGUCUAUGAGAGUAGAUGCUGGUUUUCUAAAUGUAAGAGAAUAAGGAGAAAACUUCAUCAUUAACUUUUUUCAUGUGUAUUUGGGCUUUGGUGGGAGUAGGCAAGAAAAAUAUCCGUGGAUUUAUAGAGUAAACAAAGGUAUGUCAGGAAAAACUAGAGAGGAAUAAUAGGGCUGAACUGUGGCUCAAUUUCAGGGGGGUUUCUGGGAUUCAGACUUGAAUUAAUUGAAUGAUGCUCUAAUGUAUACUUGAUAUCAGUGAUUUUAUGCAAAGAAGAAUAAAUAUUGGCUUUUUUUAUUUAUCACAUAUGGUAUGGGUGACUAUUGCUGCUAGUUCAAGGGUCUUGAUUUUUUAAAAAUGUGUUUCUUGACUGUGGUACCUGGGAGCCCCAGGAUUGAGAUUUUGAUUAAAUAACAUCUGCUCCACUCUGCCUUCCUGUGUGGGUCUCUCUAACCCUGGGCCAAGGAGUUGAGGUUUUCCUUGGGGUGCUUGGAGUAGGGGUGGGUGCAGCUUGGGAAAUUCAGCGUCAGUACCUAAAAACUUAAAGUAGGCUUCAUGUAAGAAGUCAGUGAUUCUUAGGAACGGGGGUACGUGUGAGUGGAGGCCAAGGUGGGGCCCUGCACAGGUCGGUCAGGCCCUCAAGGUGGGACAAGAGCUGUAGAGCCCUUGGUUAUAAGCCUGUGUGGUAGAGACCAGCAGAUAAGCCAAACUCUUCUCUAUUAUCAGAACAUUUCACUAAUAAGGGAUCUCAAGGGUCACCUGGCACAGCCUUCUCUUUUUGCAGUUAAGGAAGCUAAGAAUUUAUUAUUUCAGUUAAGCUUUACCAUAUAGUAAGUUUUU